GAGUCCCACUCAGUUCACUUUAACUUCAUUAUUUCAUCUCACUCUUUCUCCUUCCCUCUUUCUCGCUUUCUAUUUGUUCACUCAAUGACUUUUUAUUGAACGGCCACCAGAUCAAUAGCACAGUGCGGCAUGUCAGGGAUAUGAUACACGGGGAAUCUAAGAGCUGAUCUCUGUCUUAUAGGAACUCAGCCAGAAUAGGGAAGAGUAGUAGAACAGGGGAUCAGCAAUUAUUUUAAACAUUUCAAUAAUAUUUGUUUUAAAGUGAAUGGUAAAAAUAUAGCUGGCAUAUCACAGAUAUUAUUGCUAAGUUAAAAGAAAGACAAGUCAAAUUAAAGUCAACUUAAAAGCAUUCAGUGAAUGACAGUACACAGAGAGCAGAUAGGUUACAGGAGAUGAAGGUGCCUGGUGUUUGGAAAUGUUUGGAUAAAGCAAAAUGGAAAUGGCUAAGACAAAGAAGGAGGUAAUAAUGGCCUAAGAAAGUUAUAAAAUAGAAUGGAGGAAUUCAAGGAGAAAGAGAUUACUUCCUACUCACCGAAAGUGUUACGGACCAUGCAGUAUUUGAAACUGACCUAGAAAGACCAACAGGAUUGUGAUGGGUGGAGGCAGGAAGGGAAAUAUUUUAGGAAGAGUGACUGACAGUCAAGUUCUGGAGCGUGAACAUGCAUGGCAUAUUGGGAAGCGGGAACAGUACACCCAUAUUCUGCUUUCCAUCUUGUAUCCUUCUUAGUCCUGCAAAUGUCCAGAGUAGAUGUGCUGUUUAUCCAUUUCUCCUUCUUUGUGGGGACACCUGCAUUUUCCCAUGAGUUUACCCCAUUCUUCAUGUAGCCUUGCUGAGACUUUCCAUUAUGGUGCCUCUCUCUCCUAUAGUGAAGGGAUGAAGUGAGUCCGACUCAAGACAGGCCACCCAGGACUUAAUAUGCUGGGAGCGUACAAUGUUUUCAGAGAGACAUAAGGAUGGAAAAUACUUGGAGCUGAUUUGUCCUGAUCGUGAGAGCCUAAAAAUAUCAUCCAUUCAUCCCAGGAACCUAGAUCGCUGAAGCAGCUUUUUCCGGCAUUCCUGAAGCUUGCUUCAUCCUAUUUUUCUUUGCUUCUCUAUGUCUUGUGUGUGUGUGCACACACAUGCCUGCAUAUGUGUUUUCUUCUCUUCAUAAGGUUUGGUUUCCAUGGCUUGCAACCAAAGAAAUGAUUGUAUAGCCUGACAUAAUCAGUCAGCAAUCACAGUCAUUUUACAAAUAACACAGCAGUAAAGGGUUCACUGAUUUCCCCAUGCCACAGAGCUAAUGAGCAAUGAAGCUGGAAUCUGAACUCAGGUACCUCUGAUUCCCAAUCUGUUCUCUCUUCAUGCAGACUUUGGCUCUAUAGCAUUUUCCAAAAAUGGCCAUGCUAAUAUUUCUGACGCUCCUCUCGUUCACAGGUGGAGUCUAGUUCCUGUCCCCUAGAGUGUGGGUUAGCGUUUAUGACGGCCUUCAUGAAUGAGUGCAAUAGAAGUGACACUGUAUGAUUUCUGAGGCUGGAUCAUAAAAGGCGAAAGAGAAACCACUGCAAGCUGGCUUUUGGGAUGCUCACCUUUGGAACCUGGCCGCCAUGUUGUGAGAGAGCCCAGGCCUCGUGGAGAGGCCACAAGUAGAUGUUCUGGCUGACAGCAAUCAACAAUUGCCAGAUAAACAACUGAAUAAGCAUUCAGAUGACAUCAGCUCCCAGGCCUUGGGGAUUCCAGCUAAGGCCUCAGACAUUGAGGCACAGAGAUAGGCUGCUCCCAGUGUGCCCUGCUCACAUUCCUGAGCCAUUAAAACCACAGAGACACGAAAACGAUGUUGUUUCCAGUCACUAAGUUUGUGUGUGAUUUGUUAUGCAUGAAUGGGGGCUGAAAGAGGCAACCAGCCCUAGGGCAGACUUAUCUACUCUCCCACCUAAACAAAUCCUUUGUUUUAUAAAAUUUAAGUUAGGAUGGGAGACAUAGAGAUUGUUGGUGCUUGAAGGAACCCUGGGGAUCACUUGACCCAACAUUCCCUCCUCUUCUCCUGAGAGUCAGAUGUAGAAUGAAUGGUGAAUGCUUGACAGUAAGGUCAGCUUUAGGGUUGUUUGAAGGAUGAAAUGAUAAAAUGCACAGAAAAAUGCCUGGCACUUAGUAGUUGCUCAAUAAAGCUUAAUUCUCUCUUCCUGCUAAUAUCAUUCUUUUUCUUUUCUUUUGAGACGGAGUCUCCCUCUGGCCCCCACGCUGGAGUGCAGUGGCGUGAUCUCGGCUCACUGCAAGCUCCGCCUCCCGGGUUCACGCCAUUCUCCUGCCUCAGCCUCCCGAGUAGCUGGGACUACAGGCGCCCACCAUCAUGCCCGGCUAAUUUUUUGUAUUUUUAGUAGAGACAGGAUUUCACCGUGUUAGCCAGGAUGGUCUCCAUCUCCUGACCUCGUGAUCUGCCCGCCUCAGCCUCCCAAAGUGCUAGGAUUACAGGCGUGAGCCACCGGGCCCGGGCUUCUUUUUCUUUUUUUAAAAAAGUCAAAAUUCUCAAAAAGCUUGGUUGUCUACUUUGUUUUCCAGGUGGAUUUCUGGAGUCAGGUUUAGUGAUUAGAGCAUGACAUUUUGUAUGAAAGCAUAAAAGACAGAAAAAACUCAAAAUCAGGUAAAGCAUUGUCUUGGUUCACUUAUUAACCUAUAAGAAUGAUUACCUCAAAUGACCUUAAAUUCCUUUCCCAUACUCUAUUUAAGAAUCGGGGAAACCUAUGUUUUAGAAAUGAAGUCAAUAUAUAGAAAGAUAUAGCACUUGAAGUGGUGAGCUUCAGUUUCACAGAAAACUCAUCUAAGUGAGAUAACUUAUUCUUGGAUGUUGCCAGAAAAAUCUACAAGUUUCUAAAUGAUUGGAAACAAAAGUUUUUAAAUGAUUGUUGGAGUUCAACUCCAGGGAGCACUGGCCUCUGCCCUGUGUUGGAGGACAGCUUUGAUGCUGCAUAACAAACAGUGUGAUUUCACUCAUGCUGAAACUAUUUUCCUGAAAUUGGAGCCUUAUUAUUAAGUUACUGGGAAAAAAUUCCAAUUGAACUUUGGAAAUUUUUUUUCUAUUGUAGUACCAUUAUAGAGUUCAGUUUGGUGAAAAAUGAGCACUGAAGGCUUUCAACAAUUUUCUAUCAGAGCUUAAAUUCAAUUCUAAGGAUAGUGACCAUGUAAUUGGCAAGGAAGGAGUACUUAAUUCUUAGAAUUGCACUGAUGGGGAGACACAGCUUUCCCUGGCAUUGGAGCCUGUGGCAGCGGGGCUGUGGGCAGACUAUAUCUCACAAUGGCUUCCUGGUGGGAUAUGGGAGUGGUGCCUGCUCUGAGAUACAGAUUUGGUUAAAUCCACUCACUGGGUACACUGCAAACAUUUCCCUAAACACCCUAAACUUUCUUUUCUAGGACCUGACCCGAGUCUAAGCUUGUAAGGGGCUUGGUGCAUGGGAGUUGGAGAACCAUCUCGGUGUUCAUAUUCUGGCAUCGAAAUGAGAACAUGAGUGCAUUUUAUUGUAUCUUUGAGGCAACCCUGGAGGCUACACCUUGAAGAGGCAGCCUCAUGAAAUGGAAGGUGCCAAGGAUCUCUGAACGUUAUGGAGCAGAGCCAUCCCACCCCACCAUCUGCAGUUCGACUGUAAUAGGAAAUAGGCUCAAUUUGGAUCAAGGCUUCGGAAGAAGGGUUGGCUGACGGCAAUGGCUCUUCAAUGUAACUUUCAUGGA
rnacentral:lncRNA from 1 species